CGCUCAGUAGUCAGUGUAGAUAC
rnacentral:miRNA from 15 species